rnacentral:rRNA from 1 species
AUUGAACGCUGGCGGCAUGCCUUACACAUGCAAGUCGAACGGUAACAGGUCUUCGGAUGCUGACGAGUGGCGAACGGGUGAGUAAUACAUCGGAACGUGCCUAGUAGUGGGGGAUAACUACUCGAAAGAGUGGCUAAUACCGCAUGAGAUCUACGGAUGAAAGCAGGGGAUCGCAAGACCUUGUGCUACUAGAGCGGCCGAUGGCAGAUUAGGUAGUUGGUGGGAUAAAAGCUUACCAAGCCGACGAUCUGUAGCUGGUCUGAGAGGACGAUCAGGCACACUGGGACUGAGACACGGCCCAGACUCCUACGGGAGGCAGCAGUGGGGAAUUUUGGACAAUGGGCGGAAGCCUGAUCCAGCAAUGCCGCGUGCAGGAUGAAGGCCUUCGGGUUGUAAACUGCUUUUGUACGGAACGAAAAGCCCUGGGUUAAUACCCUGGGGUCAUGACGGUACCGUAAGAAUAAGCACCGGCUAACUACGUGCCAGCCGCCGCCGUAA